UCUGGGUUUCCCAAGCUGAUGCCUCGGGACUUUGUGCAGGGGAGAGCGGCUUGGUGGGGAGGGUGGGGGGCCCUCUCUGGGCAGUGGCCUCCCCACACUUAUCCAGUGCUCAGUGCAAGGUUCCGGGGGGGAAGAUGCUAGAAGGUGUCAUUUGUCACCAGGGACCAGUCAGAAGAGAUGGCUCACGUUCCGGUAAGCUUUGAGCCAGGUGAGCGAAGGCUGGAGAAAUGCCAGUGGACAGAAGAGCAGGGUGGCUAGCAAGGACAUGGGGAUAUCUGGGAAGAGGAGGGACCUGGGGAAGAUAGGGAAGCCUGAUGAAGUGAAGGACGCGUCCUGGCUGGGAGCGGGACCGUGCACAGAGAGGAGGUGGACCAACCUGCCUGGAGUGAGUGCCCCACACGGAAGGAAGGCGGCAUUAGCUAGAUGCCAAGAUCCAGUCACCCAGAAGGGGAGAGGAAGUGGGUAGUGGUGUGGUUCUGAGAGGUUACACUGAAGCCAGUGUGAGGAAGAGCCACUGAGUGGACUGAAGAUGUGCUCGACCUCCAGCCUGAGCUCCUCCGAGCACCCAAAAUCCCAGAGGUUAGGGUCUACAGGGGCCAGUCUCCAGCUCAAUAAUUCCCCUCUAUUUUUACCGCUAGACAACUGAGGGCCCCGUGCCUCCACUGUGGAAAAAAGAGCCUCCGCCAAGCACCACUUCCUUCCCUCCUGCUUGUGGUCCAGGGUGACGCUUAGGUGUCUGUCUCAAGGUUGAGAUGCAACAUGUCUUUGCCUUAGGGAGUGCCUGAUGGCCCCCAAGGGUGUGAGUUUGAGAAAAGAGGCAAUGUUGUCACAGAAUAUGUCCAGCAGGUGGCUGCGGUUUGCUGAGUGUCAGCUGCUAUUACAGACAUGACAUGUGUCAUGACCACCCGGAGGAGGUGAAAACCCAAAACACAGAAAGAGGGUUCUCAUCUUAAAAUCCUUAACACAACCAGUGGCCCUGAAAUUCUCAAGAGGGCGAGAGAGUCCCUCCCACCAGGGCUCAAUGCAAACUGCCACUAUCCACCUAGGCAAUUAGGACACCGGGCAGCUGGGGUCCCAGGUCGCCUCUACAUUCACGGAGCAGACUCUAAAAAUCUCCCAAAUACGAUGUCUUCUUUCUAAGACACACUCAUACCCACAGCACCCAGACCACAGCACUCUUUUCCUGAACAGCACCAUGCUGUGUUUCUCACCGAUCUCCUCUCUGGUCCCUGGAAUCUUCUCCAGCUAUAUCCAGAAGAGAUAGCCCCUCACAUCUCAUGGCUCUCUCUGCUGUCAGACUUCCAAAGCCUUCGCCAGUCCUAAGAUAAAGGCCAGACCCUUUGUUCGGCAUCCUCCUGCCUCCACAGCCCUCCAGCCUAGCUCCCUGCAGGCACCAUGCUCUUCCAGCCUCAGGACCUCUGCAAGGCUCCUCCCUAUGCUCUGGGGGAUCUACCUUCUUUCUUCUAGCCAGUUCUGGCUGCCUUCUGAUGCCGUCUCGUGUGAUUUUGAGAUCAGCAGCAUCUUCCAUAGGAAGUGGGGACCUGGAAGGGCUUUUUAAGCUCCUGUGUCCUCAGUCCCCAUAGUGGACACAUAGUAGGCCCUCACAAAUACUAAAUAAACAAAUGAAUGGGAGUCAAUGAAGGAUUCAUCCGUGGAGACUCUGAGGGUUCAGGUGUUUCCCAGAACAAUCAAUCAUUCCAGGGGAAAACUCUGAGUCUACCCUGAAGGUCUCCGGGCUCCACACUGGGACAGGGAUGGGGAAGAAGAGAGAUCUUCCUGGCUUCCUAAUCUUAAAAGAUGUUGAAAAUAGAAGUAGUCAUCAGAGCUAACACUUGACAAGCCUUCCUCCAUCUCUUAACAGGUCAGGCAGCUCAGACCAGAACCUACAGCUGGCAAACAUCCACGCCCAGAACGGAGGACAUCCCCCCAGAGCAGCUGGGCCAUGAGGUUGAAGAAGCAGAGACCGGAAGUUCCCUGAAUAGCUAACCUAGCCCAAUCAGCAAGCACCAGUGAGAGAUUCUACCUCGAAAAUCAAGGUGAACGGCUCUUCAUGCACGACACCAGAGGUUGACUUCUGGCCUCCAAGUGGCCACACAGGAGCACAUAUACACACAACUAAAAAUUUCAAAACACGAUCGCAAAACAAAACACCAUGUAUUUGGCAACACCGAAAUAACGCCUUAAAAAUCGUUGUUCACAGGGCUGGAGAGAUGGCUCAGAGGUUAAGAGCACUGACUGCUCUUCCAGAGGUCCUGAGUUCAAUUCCCAGCAACCACAUGGUGGCUCGAAACCAUCUGUAAUAAGAUCUGGUGCCCUCUUCUGGCCUGCAGUCAUACAUGCUGUAUACAUAAUAAAUAAAUAAAUCUUUAAAAAAAAAAAAUCGUUGUUCACACUUUGCAAGCCAGAACAAAAAAGUCCACUUGUCUUGAUUUGCAGUGUAGAGGCCGAACCCAGGGCCUCAUGAAUGCUGGGCGAGUGUUCAUACCAGAAGCUGUAGCCUCAGUCCUUGACCCAAAGUAUUGUUUUCUUUUGUUUUGCUUGAGGUAGGGUCUUACGUAGCCCAGGCUAGCCUUGAACUCCUUAUUUGGCCAAGGAUGACUUUUUGAACUUCUGAUCCUGCUUCCAUCUCCCAAAUACUGGGAUUAUAGGAGUGUACCACCACCAUGGUCAUUUUAUGAGGUGCGUGACGUGGAACCCAGAGCUUUGUGGAGAUGAGACUAGAAAAUGUCACCUGCUGUCGAGAAAGGACAGAGGCCAGGCACGGCGCCAGACACAUUUAAUGUCAGUGUUUGGGGAUCAGAGGCAGGCUGGUCUCUGUGAGUUCAAGGCCAGGAACUUGCUCUAGAGACUAGGCUGGCCAGGGCCACAGAGUGAGAUCUUGUCAAAAAUAAAUAGAUAGAUAGAUAGAUAGAUAGAUAGAUAGAUAGAUAGAUAGAUAGAUUUUUAAAAGAAGAAAAGAGAGAGAAUGGGGGCCAGAAAACGGGGUCCCACUAGCCGUCAGUCCAGAAGCUCUGUGAGAACCAGGGAGCAGAAGCCAUCAGCUGGAAUGACACUGGGGUCUCGGUAUCGCCUUCAGUCUUAGAAACUGAAAGCCCUGAAUGACUGAGAGGUGGUAACCAUUCAAGGGGCAACCACUCGGGGGCAGUCUGGCUGGAGGUGACAUUCGGUCAUUUCCAGGAUGAACUGCCCUGUCAAGCUGAGUCACACAGAUACCUGGAAAUUUUUGCUUUCAAAUUUGGUUAGCGCUUUCACAAACCUCAUCUCAAACGUCAGAGGUCCCAAGCUGUCAUCUGUGAGUGCUUUAAGAAGCAAGCACCUCUACCCAACAUCCCGCCAUUUUAGAGGACAGGAAUGUUUAGUGAGCACCUACUAUGUGCCUGGCACCUUGUAAAGUACUGUCCCCAGUAGACAUUAGUCCUUCCCACUCUGCUUCCUGUUUACACAGUAGGAACACGGUUCUAAUGACUUGAAUGUUCACCUGCUUGGGACCUAGCAAGAGGCAGAUAGCCUUAUUUUUUGUAUAUGAUACAAACAUUUUUCCCACAAGGAAAAGUCCUGCUGGGCAUGAGGAGGCUGCGUACCAGUCAAAGCUGCUUCUAAGCAGUUAGGUAGUGUUGGGCUGUCCUUCCAGCCUCUGCAUCCCAGCUUCACUGGGGACACCAGGGGGUGAGUAAGGCCACCUCUACAGUGGUGAGGUCAUGCUCUCGGUCAUGCUCAUUCUCAUCAUGUCAUCUGAGUCACGAUGCAGUGUCCGGGCCUUCCUUCCGCCUGGGGUGCCUUUUCCCAUGGCUAGGGUCCUCUUUCAUAGGCUUCACUUCCUAGGAAGUCCUCCCAGGAACAGACCACCCCCACUCCCCCCACAGCAUGCCAUUCCAUGCUCCUCCAAAACCGCUAGCUCGAGCGUCUUGUACUGAUUUUUUUUUUCUUUCUUUCCUACGAGUAUGGGUGUUUUGUCUGCGUGUGCGUCUGCACACCACAUGUGAUGUCUGCUCAGGGUAGAAGAGGGCAUUGGAUCUCCUGAGACUAGAAUUACAGUCAUUUGUAAGCCACCAUGUGGGUGCUGGGACUCGAACCUGAGUCCUCUGGAAAACCAACUAGUGCUCUUAACACCUGAGCCAUCACUCCAGUCCCUCCUUGUACUAAACGCAAACCACGGUCUCAUUUCACCUCUGUGUCCUACGCUUGAGGCUGAACCCUGACAGAGGCUUUCCGAACGUUUAGUGUGUCUGGGCGAUUGCUACAUUGUUUCUUAAGCCCAAGGACGAUUGCUACAUUGUUUCUUAAGCCCACGGAACGUUAAGAGAUUCCUAUUACAGUCUGGAGAGACAUACACUUCUUGUUGAAGCCUUCUUGGUUUGACUGUUUUUGAGACAGUGUGUCUCCCAGCGUGGUGGUCGGGGUCGGUGGUGAGUUUAAGAUCUUGCUAGCUCAGCCUAGGAUUUCAGACUUGUAGAACACACCUAGCUUAAAGAACUUCUUGUACUUUUCUUCCCUCUUCCCUUCUUUUCUAGGCUGGCUUGUAGACUCCUGGGCAUCAGAGAUCCUCCUGCCUCAGCUUCCUGGGAAGCGGGAACUACAGGCAGAGCCCCACACCCACCUCUCUCACACGUUUCUGUUCUGUUUUAUUGCUGUCGUUGCAUCGAUAUAUGCUUCUUUUUUUUUUUUUGUUUUGUUUUGUUUUGUUUUGUUUUUUCGAGACAGGGUUUCUCUGUGUAGCUUUGCGCCUUUCCUGGAACUCACUUGGUAGCCCAGGCUGGCCUCGAACUCACAGAGAUCCGCCUGGCUCUGCCUCCCAAGUGCUGGGAUUAAAGGCGUGCGCCACCACCGCCCGGCCGAUAUAUGCUUCUUUAAUCCAUUUUUUUGUAACCUUUAGCCAUGCAGAAAGAACCCAGAGCUUUGCACACACUAGGCAAGCCCUGUGUGUCCCCAGGCCGCUCCCUCUCUUAUACAUUAUCUUUAUUAUGAUUUCACAGUUCUUUAUGUUUGGGAGGGGUGUCAGAGUACAUCCCUAGAGGGCAGCUUGUGGAAGUCAGUUCUCUCCUUUCCCACUGUGGGUCCUGGAGACUGAACUCAGGUUUUCAGUCUUAGCAGCAAGCUCCUUUGCUCACUGAGCCAUCUCACCACCCCAUCUCCUAUACAUUUCUUCAGGACAAAGCCUGUUCUUUGCUCACAUUUAAUUUCAUCGGGUCUUGGCACACAAGAGGUUCUCGGCAAACAUGUAUCACAUCAGACAAUAUUGAGGUCUCCCACCACCCCACCUCAGCUGACCUCCUCACUGAGAGAGCAGGCUCUCCAGGGGGCUGGGGAACUCCCAGAGAGUUAGAACUCACUGCCACAUGGGUGUGGAAAUUAAUUAGAUUAGGACAGACAACAUCUCCAUGUGUGCUAGGGUGGGGCCCUGCAGGCCGGGCCUGUAGCAGGGCUACCCAACAGUAUGUCCGAGAAAGCCACCAUCAUCACUGCUGGUGGCCCCAGACUUGAGGACAAAAGGUCCCCAGGAGAGAAGUGUGCUAUGACUUAAAUGCAAAGUGUCCUUUGCAGGUUCCCAUGUUUGAACAUUUGGUCCCCAGCUGGUGACAUUGUUUGGGGAAGUUAUAGAACCUUUAAGGAGUUGGAGUCUGGGUGCAGAAAGAGGAUCCCUAGGGGGCUAACAAUGAGGUCUGUAGCCCUGCUCGCUGCCUGUCAUGUCCCCAAAGAUGUGAGUGAGGAACCUCAACUUCCUGUUACCUCAGCCUGGAGCUUUGUCCUCCUCCAGACCUUCCCUGAUAAUGAUGAACACGGUCCUCGAACUAUGAGCCAGUAAAGCCUUCCUCCUGGGGGUCACUUCUUAGUAGGCAUUUGUCAUAGCAACAAGAACACUAAUCCACAGCAGUAUAACAAUGACAAUAUUUGUUGGGGGUAAAGGCUGUCACUGGGAGCAGCUGGGAGACAGAGGCAGGAGAAGUGAUAGUUCAGGCUAUACUGGGCUUUUAACAAGAGACUAUCUCAAAAAAAAAAAAAAGAGGGAAGGAAGAAAGAAAGUAAAUGUAUUAUUUAUUCAUCAUUUGUUUGUUU